GAUGAACGCUGGCGGCGUGCCUAAUACAUGCAAGUCGAGCGAACGGACGAUAAGCUUGCUUCUCUGAUGUUAGCGGCGGACGGGUGAGUAACACGUGGAUAACCUACCUAUAAGACUGGGAUAACUUCGGGAAACCGAAGCUAAUACCGGAUAAUAUUUUGAACCGCAUGGUUCAAAAGUGAAAGACGGUCUUGCUGUCACUUAUAGAUGGAUCCGCGCUGCAUUAGCUAGUUGGUAAGGUAACGGCUUACCAAGGCAACGAUGCAUAGCCGACCUGAGAGGGUGAUCGGCCACACUGGAACUGAGACACGGUCCAGACUCCUACGGGAGGCAGCAGUAGGGAAUCUUCCGCAAUGGGCGAAAGUCUGACGGAGCAACGCCGCGUGAGUGAUGAAGGUCUUCGGAUCGUAAAACUCUGUUAUUAGGGAAGAACAUAUGUGUAAGUAACUGUGCACAUCUUGACGGUACCUAAUCAGAAAGCCACGGCUAACUACGUG
rnacentral:rRNA from 1 species